rfam:Amphimedon queenslandica AMPQTscaffold_13497_Cont1045, whole genome shotgun sequence.
GAACUGGCUUUUUUCAAAGCCACCAUAUUACAAAAGAUCUCUUCUU